ACUCCUGCGGGAGGCAGCAGUGGGGAAUAUUGGACACUGGGCGCAAGCCUGAUCCAGCCAUGCCGCGUGAGUGAUGAAGGCCCUAGGGUUGUAAAGCUCUUUCACCGGUGAAGAUAAUGACGGUAACCGGAGAAGAAGCCCCGGCUAACUUCGUGCCAGCAGCCGCGGUAAUACGAAGGGGGCUAGCGUUGUUCGGAUUUACUGGGCGUAAAGCGCACGUAGGCGGACUAUUAAGUCAGGGGUGAAAUCCCGGGGCUCAACCCCGGAACUGCCUUUGAUACUGGUAGUCUUGAGUUCGAGAGAGGUGAGUGGAAUUCCGAGUGUAGAGGUGAAAUUCGUAGAUAUUCGGAGGAACACCAGUGGCGAAGGCGGCUCACUGGCUCGAUACUGACGCUGAGGUGCGAAAGCGUGGGGAGCAAACAGGAUUAGAAACCCGAGUAGUCCC
rnacentral:rRNA from 1 species